rnacentral:rRNA from 1 species
CCGACGAUACAGGGUGAUAGUCCCGUAGUUGUAGACGCAUGUUCAGUGAAAUCGAGUAGGGCGGGACACGUGUUAUCCUGUCUGAAUAUGGGGGGACCAUCCUCCAAGGCUAAAUACUCCUGACUGACCGAUAGUGAACCAGUACCGUGAGGGAAAGGCGAAAAGAACCCCUGUGAGGGGAGUGAAAUAGAACCUGAAACCGUGUACGUACAAGCAGUAGGAGCACCUUCGUGGUGUGACUGCGUACCUUUUGUAUAAUGGGUCAGCGACUUAUAUUCAGUGGCAAGGUUAACCAUCUAGGGGAGCCGUAGGGAAACCGAGUCUUAACUGGGCGCCAUAGUCUCUGGAUAUAGACCCGAAACCGAGUGAUCUAGCCAUGGGCAGGUUGAAGGUUGAGUAACAUCAACUGGAGGACCGAACCGACUAAUGUUGAAAAAUUAGCGGAUGACUUGUGGCUAGGGGUGAAAGGCCAAUCAAACUCGGAGAUAGCUGGUUCUCCCCGAAAGCUAUUUAGGUAGCGCCUCGGACGAAUACUACUGGGGGUAGAGCACUGUUAAGGCUAGGGGGU